CCAAGGCUAAAUACUCCUGACUGACCGAUAGUGAACCAGUACCGUGAGGGAAAGGCGAAAAGAACCCCGGCGAGGGGAGUGAAAAAGAACCUGAAACCGUGUACGUACAAGCAGUGGGAGCACGCUUAGGCGUGUGACUGCGUACCUUUUGUAUAAUGGGUCAGCGACUUAUAUUCUGUAGCAAGGUUAACCGAAUAGGGGAGCCGAAGGGAAACCGAGUCUUAACUGGGCGUUAAGUUGCAGGGUAUAGACCCGAAACCCGGUGAUCUAGCCAUGGGCAGGUUGAAGGUUGGGUAACACUAACUGGAGGACCGAACCGACUAAUGUUGAAAAAUUAGCGGAUGACUUGUGGCUGGGGGUGAAAGGCCAAUCAAACCGGGAGAUAGCUGGUUCUCCCCGAAAGCUAUUUAGGUAGCGCCUCGUGAA
rnacentral:rRNA from 1 species